rnacentral:rRNA from 1 species
AGAGUUUGAUCAUGGCUCAGGGUGAACGCUGGCGGUAUGGAUAAGGCAUGCAAGUCGAGUGGGUUUAGACCCACGGCAGACGAGGCAGUAACACGUAGGAACGUACCUGGAAGUCGGGCAUAAUCCAUCGAAAGGUGGGACAAUUCCCGAUGGUCUCGCAAGAGUAAAGAUUUAUCGCUUCCAGAGCGGCCUGCGCAAUAUCAGCUAGUUGGUGAGGUAAUGGCUCACCAAGGCUACGACGUUUAGGGGACCUGAGAGGGUGACCCCCGCCGAUGAGACUGAGACACGGCUCAUACCUCUACGGAGGGCCGCAGCCGAGAAUAUUCGACAAUGGGCGAAAGCCUGAUCGAGCGAUACCGCGUGGUGGAUGAAGCGAUUCGUCGCGUAAACAUCUUUUAUGGAGGAGGAAGUCAUUGACGUUACUCCAUGAAUAAGGGGCUCCUAACUCUGUGCCAGCAGGAGCGGUAAUACAGAGGCCCCGAGCGUUACCCGGAAUUACUGGGCGUAAAGAGUGCGUAGGUGGUCGUGUUAGUCGUCUGUUAAAUCCCCCGGCUCAACUGGGGAAUCGCGGGCGAAACGGCACGACUCGAGAGCGUGAGAGGUGCAUGGAACUCUAGGUGUAGGGGUGAAAUCCGUUGAUAUCUAGGGGAACACCGAAAGCGAAGGCAGUGCACUGGCGCGUUUCUGACACUCAAGCACGAAAGCGUGGGUAGCGAACGGGAUUAGAUACCCCAGUAGUCC